AAAAACUCCAUCUGUUCCCAUCUCUUCUGCCUCCGUCUCAAUCUCGACCGGUCACCCCAUCUCCACCGCCACAUCCGUCGUCUUCCGCCGCCGCCGAUGGCCCGCCUCCUCACGCAAACCCUCACCCUAGCCCGCCCCGCCUCCUCCCCCUCCACUACCGCCGCAUCCGCUUCCCUCCGUGGCCUCGCCACCAAGGUCGAGAUCAUCGAGAUCGAUCUCGCCGAGGAAGACGCUGGCUCCUCGUCCCACGGCUCCCCCUCCUCGUCCCCGUCGGUCGAGGCGGUCGGGAUCCGGCGCCUGGAGGAGGCCAUCCACGGCGUCAUGGUGCGCCGCGCCGCGCCCGACUGGCUCCCCUUCGUGCCGGGAGGGUCCUUCUGGGUGCCCCCGCUGCGCCGCCCGCACGGGGUCGCCGAGCUUGUUGGCCGGAUCGCGGCUGCUGGGGGCACCGAAGGGGGCGCCGGGGCCGUUGGUGGCGCGGUCGAAGUCUUGGAGCUCGACGCGCCCAUGACGGAGGAGCAGGCGUUUUGUUUCUCCACCACGCGCGGCUGGCCCUCGGCCUCUUUCUUCGUCGAAGGGAAAUCUACACAUUUGAGGAAAUCGAGGAAAGGUGCAACUCAAACUGAUGAUGAAGAAAGCUGAUUCGUUUGUGCUAUGUUGCAAGGGGUAAGGUGAUUUUUACUUCUAUUAGGAACUUGAUAACCAACAUGCUGUCUUAAUGCAUUAAGUACCUGUACUGAAAUUUCUUCAUGUUUGUUUUUUGCUGCUUGCUUUAAGUAACACUUUUUUUAGUGGCGAGUUUUAUAGGUGAUUCUGUUACAAUCUGCACCUGAUUACUCCCAUUUGCAGCUGUCGCCUGUGGUUGUGCUGCCAUUAAAUGCUUGUAAGGAAAAAUGACCUAUUUGAGGUUUCCAUGUAUUUAGCUAAUGCAGUUAAGAGAAGGUGCAAUCUUAAUCCAAAGUUCACAACUGAUUAACCUCUUCAUGUUUUAAAUAUUAAACCGAUUAGUACACAAGAAAAUUGUAAUAAUCAAAUCAGAAUCAUAUAUGGAAGGGAAGUUGUUAUUUCAUUGGCUGAAAUAAUUGUUUUUGACUAAUAGAUUGAUUCUUUUUGAACUAAUAAUGGUGUUUGUUUAAACUAAUAAUGAUGUUUGUGCCUCUGCAAACUGCCCACCAGAACAAAAAUGAGCUGGAGGCCCACCAAAUUUUGUAGCACUGUCCCUCCAUGCCACAGCCUUACUGAUCAUACCUGCAAUGCAUUAACUGCUGACAUGUAUGGCGGUUAUUGCUGCCUGCACCACAGGUUCCUGUGACUAUUUUUGACCUGAUAAUUUAACUAUUUGACCAUUUGGCCUACAGGAAUAGGCCCCACAUGUAGAACCAUAGUUUGUCUUGCAGGAUAAAAUCCAAAUAAAUGAAAUUUACAGGUUAGAUAUGGAAAUGUUCCCCUUUUUAUGUAUGAUUCUGCCACAUCUCAUCAUUCAACAUGGCUGGAGCAAGAAUGGCUGCUCCUACAUGCUUGGAUAUAUAGGGACAAACAUCUUGUCACACUAGGAAAAUCAAAACUAUGCAAACAGUGAUAUUCUGUUGGACAAGGCCAUGGAUUGCAAAGGUGUAGUUAUACUUGCUGGUGAGGUUGAGGUCUAGCACUAGCACUAACAGAAUCUUGUUAUUAUUGACGCCUGAGAUGGAUUUUGUAAAAUUCUCUUACAGUUCUUUCGCUGGAUUCCUCUAGCUUUGAAGGCACAAUUAUUCCUUAUAAAAUGUCAUGAAAAUUAACUGGGCAGGGCUGGUGCCAAGGGACUUGCUGCCAUCUGGCUGGGUUAGCGUGGGGUGGCAGGGUCCCUUUCCCUUUUUCUUUCUGUAAUGGGUGUUUUGCUAGUGUGUGUGUUUUCGCCCUCCUGGGCUUGUACUUUGGUCCAUUUUGGUUCCUCUCUCCAUAAUAUAAUGAUGCUCAGCUGUCCUGCCUGUUCGAGAGAGAAAAAAAACAGAAAAUUAACUGGGCAGAAGAUAAAGAAACUUUAUAUCGACCAGAUGCUGACUGUUUACGUAGUUAUUACGUAUGCGUAGUUAAGAUUUUCUGCACAAGAAGAAUCGUAUUUGAUAUCGUGAUGCCCUGUUGGUCAGGCUCCUACAAGAAAACACAGUGCAGAGUUGGAUGACUGCCAAGAUCAAUGUAGAUAUGGAUGCAAGGAGCCUAUUGCUGGUAAACCAUGGCACCUGCUACGGUUGAUGCUGCCUCAUCCGUCUUGGAAGAUAAAUCUGUAAAUUCGGUCUGAAUCUCAGGCGGUUGUUGUAUCAACAAGUCCUGGCACAAAGCCUUCGUUGUAAUAAUAUAAGCAUUGCAUGGAGCUGUGUGCUGAAUGUGUGCUACGGUACUUUCAAUACUGGGCUCAGCAUCAAUCCAGAAGAUGUACUCUAAACAAAGAUUCUGGAUGGCUUCUUGUGCCAACUAGGAACAAUGUAAAAUUUAUGCAAGCAUUUCUGCUCACUCCUGAUCUAUGUAAUACUAAGCUAAAAGCUUAAAGGGCUUAAGGGCUUGUUCGUUUUAACGUUAAUCCACGUGUAUUGCGUGGUAUUGAGGCCUUGUUCGGUUAUUGA